GUCAGGAAGAAGCUGCGAAUGGAGUUGGAGUGAACGACUUUGUCGUAAAUCGAUUCUCUAAACGUCCAUCCAUCUAUGUAUGCAGGAGUUUACAAUCUUGAUGAAGAAAACGAUUCUGAAGAAGUAAAAACUUCAGUGACCAGCAAGAGGUGAUAAAAAUACGGAGUUGAAAUUGCCCAACCGGAUCUAUCCGGUUUUGGAGAGCUAUCCUGGUGACUUACCAACAUGGACCAGCAACCUCCUGGUCCGUUAUUCCAGCUGACCGGUUAGCAUUUGAUGGGCUUUUGAGAUAUUGUCUGGAAACUAAGAAAGGGAUCUGAACUAUGAAGAAGAGUGAUGUUGUCUUUUUUGGUAUUAUUGAAGCCACUGUAUGUGCAGAUACUAUUGAGUAAGAAAACCGACAGAAAAAUCUAGACAGUCUACUGAGAAUGUAUUUAUGUAGAUGUGAAUCAUUUUCUGUGUCUUUUUCUCUUUCCUUCCAUUUUUUGCCUUUUGUACAUUUCAGUGUUGAAACAAAGUAGUGACUUAGUAGGCAACAGGAUUAACAACACUUUCUAAAACAUGGAUGUUAAGAAUUCAACAUUUUGUUUCUAUGAAAUAUUAGUGCACAAGAAGAUAAUGAAAAGUUGAAAUAUAAAAUAUUUUCCUAUCUGUGCAAUAUCUGUGAAACUAUACCUACUAUGUGGCAAGAUAUCUAUCACUUUUCUCUUAAAUAUUUCUAUUAUUUUGUAUAGUUUUAACAGUAUUUUUAAAACAUUUCUGGCUUGGGAAGUUAUGUGUUGGCUUCUUGGGGAAAGGGCAUAAAAUAACAAAUAUUUCCUAAACCUUAGAUAUAUUUGCAAUAAAAUAUAUUUUGCCUUAAGGUAAUAGGAAAAUAAACAUUUUUUGGAUGAAAGAUUACUGUUACAUUUUUUCCCCUUCAUAAUCCCUACAUCUUUUGGUUACUGUUUUUUUUUCUUCCAAUUUCAGAAAAAAAUGAAGUUGUAAUUUCAAAAUUACAAAACAGAGCGAGUGAGCACUAAACCAAAUAAAAUUCACAUUGUCAAGACUAGAAACCAAAAAAAGUUUUAAAAAGCUAUUUGACCAUUAAACUUAUUUAUGAAAGCGUCCUCUUUUUUUUUCUUUUGUCUGCUAAAGACCAGAGUUCUUAUAAUUACCAGAAAACUAAAAAAAAAAAAAAAAAAAAAAAAAAAAAAAAGCUGUAUUCCUUGUCAGUGCUUAAUCAAACAGGCUAUUUCUUAAUUCCUAGAUUAUAGGUACAGAGGACAACUCUUUCCCAUCACUAGCCCCAAAGAGUUUUUUCUUCCAUAAUUAACUUGCAGUCAGUACGUAGUUUGGGGGUGGAGGAAGGACCUUUCUCCUUGAUGGGAAGGAAUUAAUUUUUACAUGUGAGGUCAACUAUAAAGGAAUGAGUUUUCUUCCAUAAACAUAAACACCAUUUUAUUUCUUGCCUCUUUCUUUUAUGCGGCUAGAUAGUUAAGAGCAAAUGGACUUAACACAGCAUCAUUUUUAUGGUUAAUUCCUGGGUGUGUUUAUUCUGCUACAGAAAUUAACCCUGUUAUUAUAUUCAAAGCUUAUACUACUCUGACUUUUUGGAAACAUGUAAAAAUAUCUCUAUUGUGGCUUUUCAUAGGUUUGUAUGGUACUGUGGUCUAUAAACAUUAAUUUUAUUUAUUUAUUUUUUAACGUUUAUUUAUUUUUGAGACAGAGAGAGACAGAGCAUGAGUGGGGGAGGGUCAGAGAGAGGAAGACACAGAAUCUGAAACAGGCUCCAGGCCCUGAGCUGUCAGCACAGAGCCUGACACGGGGCUGGAACUCAUGGACCGCGAGAUCAUGACCUGAGCUGAAGUUGGCCGCUUAACCGACUGAGCCACCCAGGUGCCCCUAUAAACAUUAAUUUUAAUAAAUCACUCAUAUAUUCUAAUUUUAUUAUGGGAAACAGAUAUGGAUAGAUACAAUAAUAAUAUGCAUGGGUAUCAUUAUGCUGUAAUAAUUGGUCUGUUUGGAGAAUGUUUACAGCAACUCUUGAAUCCUUACUAGAAAAUCUUAAUUAGAUAAUGUUCCUAUUAAGGUAUUACAUAAAACCUGUAAAAGUAUAACUUCAUCUGCAGUUUUGGUUAUUAAUUUUUUUUGCAAGGUCUUCUUGUAGGAAAAGAUUAUAUCAUACAUGAAGAUGCCUUGUUUUCCAUUUUUCCCUCAGGAUUUAUUUUAAAAGCCUUGGCUGCUCCACAAAACACAAACAAAAACCAAAAAAGUAAAUAAACAAAAAUUCCAGGUUCGUCCUAGUUGAUACAAGUUUUUUUGUUUGUUGCCCUAACUCAUUCUUUAUUAUUGAAGGCACUGUAAAUAAAUACCUGUUUCAAUAAUCCAAGAUAUGUGAUCAAGUUAAAAAUAAAUUGUUGGUGGUGUAUACAA